UACGUAGGGUCCGAGCGUUGUCCGGAAUUAUUGGGCGUAAAGGGCUCGUAGGCGGUUCGUCACGUCGGGAGUGAAAACUCGGAGCUUAACUCCGAGCCUGCUUCCGAUACGGGCAGACUAGAGGUAGGCAGGGGAGAGCGGAACUCCUGGUGUAGCGGUGGAAUGCGCAGAUAUCAGGAAGAACACCGGUGGCGAAGGCGGCUCUCUGGGCAUUACCUGACGCUGAGGGGCGAAAGUGUGGGGAGCGAACAGG
rnacentral:rRNA from 1 species